UGGGGAGUGGGGUAAUUGGCAGCCCGGGACACUUUGGAUGUCCAGGACCAGGUUCAAAACCUGGCUCCCCAG
rnacentral:tRNA from 1 species